rnacentral:rRNA from 1 species
UACGGAGGGAGCAAGCGUUACUCGGAAUUAUUGGGCGUAAAGGGCGCGUAGGCGAUUUGAAAAGUCUUGUGUGAAAGCCCCGAGCUUAACUCGGGAAGUGCACAAGAAACUGUUGAAUUUGAGUUCCGGGGAGGAAGGCAGAAUUCCCGGUGUAGCGGUGAAAUGCGUAGAUAUCGGGAGGAAUACCAGUGGCGAAGGCGGCCUUCUGGACGGAUACUGACGCUGAGGCGCGAAAGCCAGGGGAGCAAACGGG